rnacentral:lncRNA from 1 species
UUCUUCGUGUUAUUUGAAAAUCAUGCUGAUGCUUUCCAUGUGAACACCAGCUCUCUUUCCCUACUUCGGUCCUCAGUCAAGCGCAUUCAAGCACAAGCCUGUGAAACCUUUCGUUUACAUAAAGUCAGUUUGUAGAAUGUCUUAAACUAUUGCCUGUGGGGAAGAAAUCAUUUGACCCUGAGUGUGUUUUUUGGGGGGGUCUUGCUGAUCAUCCAGGCAGAUCCCAGGCACUAACUAACAGCCUUACAUGUGUUUUGAUUGCCAUGUAAGAGGCGACUGCAGAAGUGUUUGUGGGAGUAAUGAGGGAGUGAGCGCCUUCUGCUGGAGCAGCGAGGCCUUUUGCGAGCUGCUCCCACUCCAGUGAUUCUUCUUUUAGCUCUCUUUCUUUUUCGUUUAUUGUUGUGAUAAUUAUUUUUUUCAUUAUUAUGGUCUCUUUCAAGUUGUCCUGCAUCAUAUGUACAGUCAGAAUCUCAUGAGUGUUCAGAUGAGGCCGCUAAGGACUUUUUGAAAUGCAAGAUAGAUAGAUGAAGAUCAGGCUGAUCCAGAGUCGCCAACGAGCUCCAGUGGUUCCUUGGUUGGUUCUUUUUGUAUGAGAGAAUUGCAGAACAGCUGCAGGUCAAAAUGCAAACUCAGCCAGCCAGCUUAUAGUCCUCCCUCUUCCAUACUUCACAUUUCUUUCCUCCUUCCUUGUUUCUCUUCAUCUGUUGAUGGCUGUCUCUACCUGUUAGACAAAAAAACAAACAAAAAAAAAAACGUCACUGCCCUAAACAUACUCAGAACGCUAAUGUAAACGUCACUGCACUAAACCUAAACAUAUUCUGAACACUAACGUAAAUGUCACUGCACUAAACCUAAACAUAUUCUGAAUGCUAUCGUAAACGGCACUGCACUAAACCUAAACAUACUCUGAACCCUAAAGUAAACAUCACUGCACUAAACCUAAACAUUGUUUGAACGCUAACGUAAACGUCACUGCACUACUGCACUAAACGACUAAACAUAUUCUAGAACACUAACGUAAACGUCUCUGCACUAAACCUAAACAUCGUCUGAACACUAACGUAAACCUCACUGUAAACGUUACCAAACAAUUGCAUUAUGCUGUUGAGGUUUAAUGCUCUUUGAAUAAUGCAAGAUCUAAUUGAGGCAGUGGUAUUCACAGUGCCCAGUGUGUGUGUGUAUGUGUAACUGAUAUGGAGAAUGAGAACGAGUUCCUCGAAACAAACAAGGACACCAAUACCACUGUACCUAGUUGUGUCUAAAAUUUCCUCUCCUCCCCACUCAUCCUGCUCCUCUUGUCCUGCAUGAUCUGACUUUUAAAUGCAUUGCAUAUUAAACAGUAUAGAUUUGGCUCUCUUUCUCUCUUAUCCUUCCUUUCCUUCUCUCUGUUUGACACGUGAAUUGCUGUGAUAUUGCGAUCUCUCUUUCCUCUCUCCCUCUGGAUUAUUCCUUCCAUCUUUUGUUCAGUGUGCAUAAAGGCUACUGACAGCCAAUGUCCGCCCACUUUUCAACAUAGAGCCCUGAGCCACAGAUCCUGCUGUUCUCUACAUGGCUGUGAGCUAUGCUCCGUCAACUCGACCUUCAGCGUACACGGUGCUCUAGUGAACAAGGCCUGCCAUUUCUAUGCUGUGAAUGUGUUUUGUAAAGUUAUCAUUGCUUUACAUGUUUUACACCUGUGAAGCUGCUGAGAGUGUUUAAAGAUUUUAAUUUUCUGUGCCACUAGCAUCACUAAACAGAUGUGCAGAUAUAAUGACAGUGUUUUUAUUGCAAUGUUUUCUUGGCUUGUCAACGCUUUUUAGUGAGUUGUCUCUGCAUUUUUAGCUUGAAUAUAAGGUACAGUCAAACCAAAAAUUAUUCAGACACCAGAUAUAAUGUUUAUUAUUAUUUUACUAAUGGGUGCACGACACUAUAGAUAAUUUAUGUUAGGUUAAGUUAGGAUAGCAAAAUAAAGUAAACUGUGACAUAUUGUACCCCAAAAUUUUUCAUUCAAUGGACUACCAGUAAAACCGAAAAAUGAUUCAGACACUAUGACCUGACCAUGUUUUCCUUAAGUGUUAUCUGACAUUAUCAAGAUGAAUUUGUUCUGACACAGUUUAACUCUGAGUUCUUGUCAUAUUUUAUUACCAUUUUCUAUAGCGAAUAAAUUGUGAUUUAGGUUAAGUUAGGAUAGCAAAAUAAAGUAAACUGUGACAUAUUGUACCCCAAAAUUUUUCAUUCAAUGGACUACCAGUAAAACCGAAAAAUGAUUCAGACACUAUGACCUGACCAUGUUUUCCUUAAGUGUUAUCUGACAUUAUCAAGAUGAAUUUGUUCUGACACAGUUUAACUCUGAGUUCUUGUCAUAUUUUAUUACC